AGCACUUUAUACUGUGAAACUGCGAAUGGCUCAUUAAAUCAGUUAUCGUUUAUUUGAUAGUACCUUACUACAUGGAUACCUGUGGUAAUUCUAGAGCUAAUACAUGCUAAAAACCCCGACUUCAGGAAGGGGUGUAUUUAUUAGAUAAAAAACCAACGCCCUUCGGGGCUCCUUGGUGAAUCAUAAUAACUUAACGAAUCGCAUGGCCUUGCGCCGGCGAUGGUUCAUUCAAAUUUCUGCCCUAUCAACUUUCGAUGGUAGGAUAGUGGCCUACCAUGGUGGCAACGGGUAACGGGGAAUUAGGGUUCGAUUCCGGAGAGGGAGCCUGAGAAACGGCUACCACAUCCAAGGAAGGCAGCAGGCGCGCAAAUUACCCAAUCCCGAUACGGGGAGGUAGUGACAAUAAAUACUGAUACGGGGCUCUUUUGGGUCUCGUAAUUGGAAUGAGAACAAUUUAAAUCCCUUAACGAGGAACAAUUGGAGGGCAAGUCUGGUGCCAGCAGCCGCGGUAAUUCCAGCUCCAAUAGCGUAUAUUAAAGUUGUUGCAGUUAAAAAGCUCGUAGUUGAACCUUGGGUCUGGCUGGCCGGUCCGCCUCACCGCGAGUACUGUCCGGCUGGACCUUUCCUUCUGGGGAACCUCAUGGCCUUCACUGGCUGUGGGGGGAACCAGGACUUUUACUGUGAAAAGAUUAGAGUGUUCAAAGCAGGCCUUUGCUCGAAUACAUUAGCAUGGAAUAAUAGAAUAGGACGUGCGGUUCUAUUUUGUUGGUUUCUAGGACCGCCGUAAUGAUUAAUAGGGAUAGUCGGGGGCGUCAGUAUUCAGCUGUCAGAGGUGAAAUUCUUGGAUUUGCUGAAGACUAACUACUGCGAAAGCAUUCGCCAAGGAUGUUUUCAUUAAUCAGGGAACGAAAGUUAGGGGAUCGAAGACGAUCAGAUACCGUCGUAGUCUUAACCAUAAACUAUGCCGACUAGGGAUCGGACGGGAUUCUAUGAUGACCCGUUCGGCACCUUACGAGAAAUCAAAGUUUUUGGGUUCUGG
rnacentral:rRNA from 1 species